rnacentral:lncRNA from 10 species
GACAAGUAUGGUCCCUGCGCAUUCCUCGGGCUGACGGCCAUUUCAAUUUAAGAAAACAAAAGAUGAUCCUGUGAACACUGUAUCAGGCAUCAUUACUGGACUGAAAAAAGGAUCACUUGAUGGACAUGCCUGGCGUUUUGUUUAGAAGUAUUUCUUCUCUGGCCUUAGAAGAUUAGUUUUCAAAGCGAUGGUAAAAUCAUUGAUGUAUGUCUUUUCAAGAAAAAGAAAAAAAAAAGACUCCUAAAUGCCAAACAUUUGCUCUUUGGAGCAUAGCAAGAAGAAAGGGAGAGGACCAGACGGCCACAUCCUAAGAACAGAGUAUUGUCCAGGUAGCUGUCGCCCCAAAUGGGAUCUCUUUCCAGGUCUUUUUGUUAAAGCUUUUCUUUCCUAAAUAAAACUUAAUUUUCUCUCGCUAAUCUU